CCUCUCGCCCAGUGUUCCCACAAAGGCUUUGCUGUCCUGCAAAUCCCUCUGGCAUCUUUAUGGAAGUGCAGCUGUUGGGUGUACAAACACCACCUGAUUGAUGGGAGUGAGACUGAGGUCCUUCUGCUAAUCUUCGAAGUGGAAAAGUCACAAUGAACACAGCUGUCACAGAAUGAAAUGCAAUUUUUUUGGAGGACUUAAAUUCACAUUCUUUCUACAAGUCCUGCUGAAAUGAAAUACUGCAGAAAGCACAGGCUCCCGUGAGAAUUCCUGUGGGCUACAGCUCAUUUACAGCUGAUUUUAGAGACAGUGAAAGAAGAGUACUUUGAUUCAGAGCUUGUCUGCUACCUGCCUGACUGAAACAAGGAAAUGCAUAAAUCCAGUGAAGAGAGAUAGACAUCUCUGAAAAGCAAUUCUUUUAAAAGAGCACCAUUUGAGGCUGUAAAUGUGAUAUAUUGGAGUUGAUCUGGAAUACAAUAUACAAUCUAUUCAGAAGUGUGUUUAUCCAGUCCAGAGUGGUGAAGUUGAGAGAGUGAUGGGACAUGGGUGACAACUGGAUUAGAACAAGUACGUCAGGAAUUGUGUCCAAGACUAUUCCUAGCAGCUGCCCCUCUCUGAUCACCAACCAUGAAGAUCCAAUCUGAUUUUUAAAGAAAUAUGUAGACCAUUCUCAAGUAUGCACUGGAUGAAGAUAAGAGCCUGUCUUAUAAGCAUGAGCACAACAAUGUCAAAAGAUGUUUCAGAUCAAGCAGAGUGAUUUCCUAUGUGUAUUAGACAACUGAAGGAAUAUAUUAGUCACCCCACCCUC